AUGGCCACACUGGGGGAGCCGCAGAUGCAGUACAAGUUCCUGCUGGUGGGUGACAGCAGCACAGGGAAGAAGAUGUUCGUGAAGCACCACCUGACCAGCAAGUUCGAGAAGAAGUAUAUAGCCACGCUGGGCAGGGAGUUUCCAUACCAACAGAGGGCCCAUCAAGUUCAACGUCUGGGACACGGUGGGCCAGAAGUUCAGCGGCCUGAAGGAUGGCUACUACAUCCAAGCCCAGUGUGCCGUUAUCAUGUUUGAUGUGAUGUCAAGAGUUACUUACAGGAACGUGCCUAACUGGCAUAGAGAUUUUGUAGAGUAUGUGAAAACAUCCCCAUCAUGUUGUGUGGCAACAAAGUGGACAUUAAGGACAGGAAAGUGAAGGCAAAAUCUGUUGUCUUCCAGGGAAAGAAGAAUCUUCAGCACUAUGACAUCUCAGCCAAAAGUAACUCCAACUUUGAAAAGCCCUUCCUCUGGCUCGCUAGAAAGCUCACUGGAGACUCUGACUUGGAGUUUGUUGCCAUGCCUGCUCUUGCCCUACAAGAGGUUGGCAUGGACCCCGCUUUGUCAGCACAAUAUGAGCAUGAUUUAGAGGUUGCUCAGACAACUGCUCUACCAGACAAGGACGAUGACCUGGGAGGAGAUGAAGCUGAAGCCCCGCGUCAGAAGUCUAGUUUUAUAGGCAACUGUCAGUGUGAUGCAUGUGUGCCACUUUACUAA